GGGAACACAAAGGGGAAUCUAACUCCCCUCAGUGAUGUCAUCAACUGAGACAAAAAGGAAAAUAAUGUCCAUUUCCUCACCCCCACGUUCCCUCCUCAUUAAUUUAAUCUAAUUUGCUCACAACAUUCCUUGGUAAACAGCGGCCUCCCUUUAAUAAGCCAGGCUCUUCCCGACCCUGCAAUUGUGUUCCUAAUCAGCUCGUGUAUCAGGAAGACUUGUUGCUAAUUGUCUCAAGGCAUCCGCACUACUCUGUGUGUCAGGUGGGAAUCUGGCUCCAAUAUCCACAGUUAAUUUCUUCACCUUUGUUCAAAUGCUACCUUCUCAGAGAAAGUCUGAAUUGACCUAUAUCAAGUAAAGAAAUUGAAUUAAUAUGAAAACUUUCUCACAAAGAAUCUCAGGUGAGAUGGUUUCACUGGUGAAUUCUAUCAAAUAGUAUCAAUACUUCACAAAAUCUUCCAAAGAUAGAAGCAGAAGGAAUGUUUUGUCACUCAUUCUACAAAACUACUAUUACCUUGAUAUUAAAGCCAGAAAAGACAUCAUGGGAAGAAAGAAUUAUAGCACAGUAUUCAUCAUAAAUAUAGAUGGAAACACCUUGACAAAUUAUUACCGAACUGAAUCCAGCAACAUAUAAAAAAGAUUAUAUGCUAUGACCAAGU
rnacentral:lncRNA from 1 species